rnacentral:hammerhead_ribozyme from 11 species
UUCGAGUCCUGGAGUGCAGAUACAUCCAGCUGACGAGUCCCAAAUAGGAUGAAACUUCCA